rnacentral:rRNA from 1 species
GUAGGUAGCAAGCGUUGUCCGGGAAUUAUUGGGCGUAAAGCGCGCGCAGGCGGUUCUUUAAGUCUGAUGUGAAAGCCCACGGGCUCAACCGUGGAGGGUCAUUGGAAACUGGAGAACUUGAGUACAGAAGAGGAAAGCGGAAUUCCACGUGUAGCGGUGAAAUGCGUAGAGAUGUGGAGGAACACCAGUGGCGAAGGCGGCUUUCUGGUCUGUAACUGACGCUGAGGCGCGAAAGCGUGGGGAGCAAACAGGAUUAGAUACCCUGGUAGUCCACGCCGUAAACGAUGAGUGCUAAGUGUUAGGGGGUUUCCGCCCCUUAGUGCUGCAGCUAACGCAUUAAGCACUCCGCCUGGGGAGUACGGCCGCAAAGGCUG